GCCAGGCUAGCUCAGUUGGAAGAGUGUCAGACUUUUAAUCUGAGGAUCCAGAGUUCAUGUCCCUGGUCAGGUG
rfam:Chelonia mydas contig232982, whole genome shotgun sequence.